AUGAUCUCGUGGGCUCGGCUAUCUGUGUUAAAGACACUGUGAAGAAACUCUAUUACCUUGACGUGGCCAAGGUCAACACCCAGAUCAGGCCUGAUGGAAAGAAGAAGGCAUAUGUUUGACUGGCUCCUAAUUAUGAUGCUUU